AUAAAAAGAAAAUAGGAGAAGUUCAUCAUAUGUAAUUGUUUUCUGCUUUCUUUGUGCCAAAUUCAAGUACAUAUAAGUUGGGCAAAGCACUUUGCGCUUGCCCCUGAGAUCUCUCUCUCUCUCACACACACACUCACACAAACAUGAUUAUAAACAGGCCAAGUUUCUUUCUCAUCCUAGCUCACAUCAUAACGGCGACUGAAGCAGCAUUUGUUUCUACAAAUGAAACCGAGUACAGGGCAUUACUGGCCAUCAAAAGCCAGAUAAUUUCAGACCCAUUCAGUGCCCUCAGCUCGUGGAACGAUUCGGUCCCCCUCUGUGCUUGGAAUGGAGUUACAUGUGGGAAGAAGCAUCAACGAGUGGUUGCACUUGAGCUCCCAUCGCUUCAAUUGAUGGGUUUCUUGUCUCCUUACAUCGGGAACCUUUCUUUCCUCAGAGUGCUUAACCUCAACGACAAUGGCUUCCAUGGGACACUAUCCCAGGAAUUCAGUCAGUUGUCGAGGCUACGGGCCCUCAGGAUGGCAAUCAAUUCUUUCCAAGGAGAGCUUCCAACAAAUAUAACUAAUCAUGCGUAUCUCUCGUUCCUAAAUUUGAGCAGAAACAAUUUUCAUGGAAGAAUUCCAGGAGAAGUUGGGUUUCUUGGAAAGCUCAUUGAAAUAGAUUUAUCUCUCAAUCAUUUCGCUGGUACCAUCCCACCUUCUUUGGGCAAUCUCUCAGCUCUGAGUGAUCUCAGUUUACACAGCAAUAACAUCGGAGGAAGCAUACCACCAGAACUCGGGAAGUUGUCCAACUUAUUGUUUCUCCGGUUAUACAGCAACAACCUCUCUGGUUCCAUUCCUACAACCCUUUUCAAUAUCUCAUCUAUCCUCACAUUCACCGUUGGUGCCAACAAUCUAAGCGGGUCUCUUCCUUCUGAUUUAUUCAUAACAUUACCCAACCUCCAACUGUUGCUCCUCCGCCGUAGUAAAUUUUCAGGAUCAAUUCCAACUUCGAUAAUGAAUGCCUCGCAGCUGGAGAUGAUCAGUAUACUUGGAAACUCCUUUACGGGACCAGUUCCAGUGGAUUUGGGAGGGCUUAAGAAUUUGGAGGUACUAGCUUUUGGUCUCAACCCCUUGGGAAUUGAAGGACGAGACGAUUUGAGAUUCUUUACCUCCCUUGCCAACUGCACCAAGCUACGCGUACUCUCAUUAUACCAGAAUGGCCUUAAAGGCACAUUACCCAAUUCUAUUGCCAAUUUCUCAACGAGUCUUACCAUUCUCCAGCUGGACUUUAAUUUCAUAUCAGGAGUCAUACCUUCAGGGAUAGGGAACCUCGUGAACUUGCAACUUCUCUCCCUGAACUUUAACAAGUUUGUAGGGAGGAUUCCUGAAUCCAUCGGUAAAAUUCCCCAGAUGCAGGAAAUCUCGAUUGCUUUUAAUAAUUUCUCCGGAAAGUUGCCACCCUCCAUUGGCAACAUCCCGUCUAGACUUAAGCAGGAAUAUGCUGGAGGGCACUCUACCCAAUUCAUUAGGGAACUGCACAAAUCUGAACUUACUAGAUCUCACUCAGAAUCGGCUUGUUGGCCCAGUUCUGGACGGUCUCCUCCGUCUUACUUCACUCUCGCUAGGUCUGUCAUUAGCGAGUAAUGAUUUCUCUGGUCCAAUUUCCUAUCAGGUCGGUAAAUUGGUCAACCUCCAGGCGUUAGAUCUUUCGGAGAACAGCAUAUCUGGAGAAAUUCCACCCACUUUAGGUGAUUGCCUGGUGUUGGAAUCGCUCCGUCUGGGAAAUAACCAAUUCACUGGGACUAUUCCACCAUCUAUGUCAAAUCUAAGAGGCAUCGAGGUACUUGAUGUUUCCCGGAACAACUUGUCUGGGCCGAUUCCACCGUUUCUGGCUGAGCUCCCUUUCCUCAAGAAUCUCAAUCUUUCCUUCAACAUGUUCGAGGGAGAAGUGCCAAAGGGAAGAAUCUUUGGUAACCUCAGCGCUGUCUCAGUUGUUGGAAAUGAUAAGCUGUGUGGAGGACCUCCCAUGUUGCAGUUGCCAACAUGUAAAGAUGGAGCUCGAAAGAAACGCCGAAAUGGAUUUUGGUCUCAGAGGAUAGUUCUGAUAAUUAGUGUGACUGUCCCUAUUCUUCUUCUGUUAGUAGGAGGGAUCAUCACAACAGUUCUUUGCCAAUCAAAAAGGUCGAAAAGGGAGACAACUCCAGCUUCUUUGAUGGAGAAUCAUUGCCCUAAGCUUUCUUAUGCAGAACUUUCUCAAGCAACAGAUAGGUUCUCUCCAGCAAACCUGGUUGGAGAAGGAAGCUUUGGUGUGGUCUACAAAGGGGUCUUACCGAGCAAUGAACAAAUUGUCGCCGUGAAGGUUCUCAAACUUGAAGAAAAGGGAUCAAUCAAGAGCUUCAUGGCUGAGUGUGAGGCCUUGAGGCAAAUUCGGCAUCGGAACCUGGUCAAGACUAUAACUUCUUGUUCGGCCAUUGAUUUCAGCGGUGAUGAUUUUAAGGCUCUAGUGUUUUAGUACAAGCCCAAUGGGAGCCUCGAGAAAUGGCUGCAUCCGAUCCUGAACAUGACAGGAGGAAUUGACAAUCACACAACAUUCAGUGUAGCGCAGAGGUUGAGCAUAGCCAUUGAUGUGGCUACAGCUCUGGACUAUCUCCAUCAUCGGUGCCACGAUUGCAUAGUCCACUGUGACUUGAAGCCGAGCAAUAUUCUCCUUGAUAGUGAUUUUGUGGCACAUUUAAGUGAUUUCGGUCUUGCUAAGUUCCUCAUGGCCAAAGCAUCAAGAACACAGUCCAGUUCGAUUGCGAUCAGAGGAACUGUUGGCUACAUUCCUCCAGAAUACGGCAUUGGUCGGGAGGUGUCGACACAAGGAGAUGUGUACAGCUUCGGGAUUCUCUUGCUCGAACUGUUCACGGGAAAGAGGCCCACUAAUCCCAUGUUCAGUGGCGAGUUCGGACUACAUGAGUUUGUUGACAGAUCUCUAUCUCAUGGGCUGAAUCAGGUUCUGGACCCAUUGCUCUGCUUGGAAGAAGUACAAGGUAACCUCCACCAUUGCUUGGUCUUGAUCCUCAGAGUCGGGCUCAUGUGCUCAGCUGCACAACCGAAUGAAAGGAUUGGCAUUGAGGAAGCAGCUGUAGAACUGCAAAAGGCACGGGAUGUUCUACAAGUUUGCACUAAAUGAAAUUGAGGGUGAGUUCCAUAUGCUCGCUUCAUGAUAAUAACAAAGAAUCGAGCGUUCGAUUGCUUGUAGAUCUCUUUCAUCCUGUACUUAAUGCCACUAGAAUUAUGUAAAUAAGUUUGGCGUGCUCUCCUUAGCUGAUAGUUAGCAAUCCACAUGAAUUCUGCUUACUGAUAAUCCCACAAGAAGUCAAUUUGGUAUAUCACGUGAUUA